rnacentral:lncRNA from 1 species
GGUUGGAAUAAAUGCAGAUGCUGCAAAUUGAUGGAGGCCUGGUGUCUUCCAGAGUGGAGAUAAAGGCUGGCUGAGGAAUCAGUGAGGCCAGGAAGAGGGCUCAGCUGAGCAACUGAUCAAAGCAUCCCUCUUCAGGAAGGAGCUUCCUGUGUUUUCUCUGGGAACUCAACUGUUUUCCACUCAGACUCUCCAAGAUAUGCAGAGCUUUGGGCCAGGAUCCUACAGCCACGGGUCAUGCAGAGCCAGUUGGCCACAUCCUUUGGGGCCAAAUUUGGUCCUAACCAGGUCUUACCACAGUAACUGCUAACCAGUCCAUCUGCAGUUAAUAUUUCAUGCCUAAGAUGUUUCAUGAAGUAACUGAAUGGGCUAAUGGGUUGUUCACUGGAUAAGACUCCCAGAUACUCCCUUUCAUGCCAUUCCCCAGAAUUCCUUCACCUCCCAGUGCUGUCUGUAAGGGUGAAGAUACUCCAUUUUGCCCCAUGCUCUUUGCUGUGACCCAGAUAGGCUCAAACAUUUUUCCCUUUUGUGGAUUUUG